rnacentral:rRNA from 1 species
UACGAAGGGGGCUAGCGUUGCUCGGAAUCACUGGGCGUAAAGGGCGCGUAGGCGGCCAAUCAAGUCGGGGGUGAAAGCCCAGGGCUCAACCCUGGAAUUGCCUUCGAUACUGUUUGGCUAGAGACCGGAAGAGGUAAGUGGAACUGCGAGUGUAGAGGUGAAAUUCGUAGAUAUUCGCAAGAACACCAGUGGCGAAGGCGGCUUACUGGUCCGGUUCUGACGCUGAGGCGCGAAAGCGUGGGGAGCAAACAGG